AGCUCUUCAAAAUGUCGCAAGGACAAAGA
rnacentral:sRNA from 1 species